CGUUGGUUUGCCCCCAACAUAAACAGCUUUAUUCUGUAUUACGAUGGAAUCGACUCGGGAUUGUCGGAUAAAUUGCAGCUAAUAUUGUAACCCUUAAGUGAUGACAGCGACAUAAUGUUGAGGUGGUGGGUUUAGUAACUAAUUUCAAACUUACGCCACCCCGAAGUUUAGCUCCCGUAGACGGGGUUCAAAUGCUGAUUAUCUCUCUGAUUAGAGCUUAAUCAUACGAUAUAAGUAGACCAAUCAGAGCAGGGCACGUGCGUAACUCAAUAGUAUCGUGUGAGAAGUUCAGAACCUGAAAGGGGUGCUUGCCGACGCGAUAUACACUCCAAGAUCACUUAACGGUGAAACCCUGCGAAGGUCGGAUAGUGUUCGAGUUAGUGUGGCUAGCAGCCGAAGAAAUAAGUAAUGCACAAGCAGCAAUUCAUGUAACUCGAGAAUUGACCAAAAUAUUUUAGGAUAUUCGUCACGACGAGACAGUAGCGCACAUAAAAGUUUAAAGAACAGUCAAUGCUGUUCCAGAUAGAACCUUCAGGCGAAGGUUUUUUUUUUCUAGUCAAAAAAGCGGAAAAGUCCCUCCGAUCCACAUCGUGCACGUGUCGAUCAUCCUCAUCAGCCGCCGUUGGUCGGCAUCACGGACCUCGCUGAUUCGAGUAACGCUCCUGCCGCCAUAGUACGCCGUCGAACUCCGGAACCCGUCGAAGAGCGAAAAAACGGUGUGGGACGCUCCUUGGUGACGACCAAGUCGAAGCAUAGAAUCCCGGGCUCGAAUAGCAGUAUCUGAAUAGUACUUGGACCGACUAGCAACAUAAACGGCGGAAACAAACAGGUCAAAUCCAACUAGAAAUAAGUGAAAGGGUUAAAUUAUGUCUAGCCAAAAGAAAAUAAA